UACGUAGGGAGCGAGCGUUGUCCGGAUUUACUGGGUUUAAAGGGUGCGCAGGCGGAGGUGCAAGUCAGCGGUCAAAUUGCGGGGCUCAACCCCGUACUGCCGUUGAAACUGCAUCCCUUGAGUGCGCGAGAAGUAUGCGGAAUGCGUGGUGUAGCGGUGAAAUGCAUAGAUAUCGCGCAGAACUCCGAUUGCGAAGGCAGCAUACCGGCGCCCAACUGACGCUGAGGCACGAAAGCGUGGGUAUCGAGCAGG
rnacentral:rRNA from 1 species